UUCACUGGCACCUGUUUCUGUUAGAGGUUUUUUUUUUUUCAUUUUCCUACAUAAGAGAAAGGGAAAUACUGUAGAAAACCAGUUAGCAAACGAGGGGGGAGUAUAACAAUCUAGGUUUGGAGAUAACAAUCCAAAAGUGGCUGGAGAAAGACUUUAUUUCCAUAUAUUUUAUUUGGAUAAAGUUGGUUUGGCAGUUUCUACAGGGAAGAAACUGAGCCAGAAACAGCGCAUCAUAAAAAGGAGCAUUCAAGAAAUAACUGUAUUUUCUUGCAUAUUGAGCAGCUAUUGCUACAAUGUUAUGGGGUAUAAUUUACCAACACCUUCAGCCUUUCUUCUUUUCUUCUUUCUCUUUCUCCUUAUUAUUAGUCUGCAUCAGAGCAGAACAGGUACUGCUCACGCAGGAACCAGCCUGGAUAUCAGGGGAGCUUGGAGACCAGAUUCAAAUGAAUUGCCAGCAGACCAACACAGAUCACAAUUGGAUGUACUGGUAUCGGCAAACAGCAGCAAAGCAGCAGCUGGAACUGAUUGGUUACAUAGUUAAGGGAGCACCACAAGCCACUUAUGAAGAUGGAUUUGAAAAACAAAGAUUUGAGAUUCAACAGAAGCAUAGUAAACACUGUUCAUUGCAAAUCAACAAAAUGAGCUCCGAGGAUGCUGCUGUUUAUUUCUGUGCUUCUAGCUUCACAGUGCUAGAAUGUUUCAGGGGCUCCCUGCAAGAACCGUCUCAUGAGUCUUCACAUGGAAGCUUGGAGUCAAAAUUUGCAUCUCUCUCUUUCUUCUCUCCUAUGUGUCUGCAGAAGAUAUUGCUAUGAUGUUAUGGAAUAUAAUUUACCAACACAUUCCUUGUCCAUCUCUGGGGAGAUUGUUCAGCCCCCACAACAGAGUCAUAAAGAAUAUUCUGGAGAAAGGAUACCAGUUUGAUGCAGCAUUAAGAAAGGAGAAGGGAAAAAUGGACUGUUAUGUCUUUCUGAACAGAGAAUACUUUCAGAAACUCUGCACCUGCCUGCCUUUGAAGAUACUCACCAGUUCCA